ensembl:lncRNA
GUUCCAUAUGCAAACAAUUUAUUAGAAAACAAUUUGGAAACAGCCAGUAAAGACAAAAUAGAUUUCGUGUCACAUUUGUACCAUGAAAGGCCCACCCCCAUCACUCAAGCAGAAGCAGACAGCUGCUGAAAGGCAAAGUCAGAAUUCGGCUAAAUUGUUAGCAUUCCCACUUGAAACCAUCAAUUCUCUAUUACGAAAUAUCUACACAAUAAUCUACUUAUUAACAAAUACAUUCGACAGUUCAAACCAACCAGUCAUAUUAACAUGCUAGCCAUUCAUUUGUUCGAAUUUCAACAGCAUAGCUACUGGAACCCUAUUGGGUUUGUUAGUAUUGGUUAUAAUUAUUCUUCAGUUUCUGCUAUGGAAAAUUAAAGUCCAAAUUCCAGUGAGAUAAUAAGGUGCAGACAGUUGAGUCUCGGCAGAUUUGUAAUUGACAUUGGUUUACGCGGUUAAGUGCAGUGCCAUACAAAUUAGCAAAAUGGUGACGAUAUGCUGGGACAUUUUUAAAAGCAGUAUGUAUUUGCUUUUGGCACCUAUAACGUCGACGGUUUUGAGUUUUCUUAAAUACACAUAAAUACCUACUCUGGGACGAAAUGACCGAUUCGCAUACAUCUUGGCGUGUGGCAUCACGCUUUAGUUCCCAUACUCCAGUAUUGCCCAAAAUAACUGACCGAUAUAUUUUUUAUCAAUGUGCGCGAGGUGUAACCCAUCAAAACACUCAAAUGCAACACAUAUAUUCCAAUCUUCAUAAAAUCUAUUCAAAACAACAACAAGUGUGAAAGCACGUUCAGAUCGGGGGCACUAUGAAGGCCCUCCUAAACCGUUUUUACUAACCGUUAGAAGUCUCGCUAAACCCAUUUAAGUGGUUUUGUUUGGCCUGGAGGUGGCGCUCGUGUAAGGGGAAAAGCUCAUUGGCUCAUAGCUUCCAUAUGGUUUCAGAUGAAAAUAUCAAUAUAGCGUUUACACUGGGCACGAGGAUGUGCUGGGGUAUCUGACCAAUGGCUUCAGAAGAGUAGCGUUUUAAAAUAGGGCACAUUUAAAAAAGUGAAAAAUACAUUGAAAAAUGUAUUUUAUUUCCACUGUUUUUGUUGUUGUUGAUGUUUUGGAAAGUGGGCUAAGAAGCAGAGGAGCUAAUUAUAGGAAGUUGUAUUCUUUGCCUUGCUGGUGGCACAGUGGGUAUUCUUCUGAAAUCCAGAAACAAUGCUUUAACUGCAACUAACUUUAAAUGCUUUUGUCUGAAUAAGGUGCUGGCCAUACAUAGAGAUAAAAGUUAACAGCAUUUCGAUAGAUUUCUAAGUUGCGAGUCACAAAUACAUAAUGCAACUGUCAAAUAUCAUUGUCAAGAAAUAUAUGCAUAUAGUUUCACAAACA